AUUGAACGCUGGCGGCAUGCCUUACACAUGCAAGUCGAACGGCAGCACGGGUGCUUGCACCUGGUGGCGAGUGGCGAACGGGUGAGUAAUACAUCGGAACAUGUCCUGUAGUGGGGGAUAGCCCGGCGAAAGCCGGAUUAAUACCGCAUACGAUCUACGGAUGAAAGCGGGGGACCUUCGGGCCUCGCGCUAUAGGGUUGGCCGAUGGCGGAUUAGCUAGUUGGUGGGGUAAAGGCCUACCAAGGCGACGAUCAGUAGCUGGUCUGAGAGGACGACCAGCCACACUGGGACUGAGACACGGCCCAGACUCCUACGGGAGGCAGCAGUGGGGAAUGUUGGACAAUGGGCGAAAGCCUGAUCCAGCAAUGCCGCGUGUGUGAAGAAGGCCUUCGGGUUGUAAAGCACUUUUGUCCGGAAAGAAAUCCUUGGCCCUAAUACGGUCGGGGGAUGACGGUACCGGAAGAAUAAGCACCGGCUAACUACGUG
rnacentral:rRNA from 1 species